AUAUGGGGAUGGUCUGGGGGUCGACAUACCAGAACACUUCCCCACUACAGUGCAGUACACACUCAAUGCCUGGGUGCAUGCAGCGCGCGCAGAGCUGAGCUAGCCGCCGGAAUUACUUUCCAGCUACUCACUUGAUGGAACAUCGUGAUAAAAUAAAUGAGAAAUAGUGAAAAUAUCAUUCAAUAACUCACUGUUUUCAAUCUUUCAUCAUGAUUUAAGAGUUCAUGAUAGUUAUUCAUACUGUUCUUUAUACAGGUAAAGUAAAGAUUUGUACAUAUGAUUCCUAUUUGUUUGAUUUGAGUUGCUUUGACAAAAAAUUGUAAAAUCAUCUUUCACUCUCUGCAUAGCAUUUCUGUAUUACACCCAGGCACCUCUUACACUAAAUUCCCUCCGGUGACGUCACACUCAGAGUGAUUUUUCUGUACACUCGUCUCUCGGGCUCUGACAGGUGGCUAAUUUCAUAGACUUUCAAAGCAAAAUAUCGAGAAGGCAGAAGAUUUUUGUGACAUGCUAUUUGUUUGAACAACUGAUAUAUA